rnacentral:lncRNA from 1 species
CUAAUUCAGUAAGUAUAUACAUAUCAAAUUUUGGUAGUACAUUAGUAUUACACACUAUAAAUGGAUAUCUAUGUAUUUGUAAUAUUCGAAGACCUUGGUAGUAGUUUUAAAUUGUAUCAAAACAUCUCAAUAUUUUAUUAUUAUUUUAGGAAAAUUUUGUAUUUGCGUAUUAUCAGUUUACAGAAUUCAGCAUGACCAAAUCAGUUUGCAAGGAUAGUUAUGGAUACACCUCCCAGAGGAUAAUUUGACAUGGUGGUGCAUCAACAUGGUGCGCUAGCGAGGUAAUGGAGCGAAAUCCAUUUGCAAUAUUAAUAGUGUAAAGAAAUAUCGAUAAAACACAAAUAGUUUGAUUAGGUACCAUCUUCUUCAAAUGAAGAAAAGAACAGUAGUAAUAAAAAGAAAAAUGAACAGUCUGGUUCCAUAUUACCAUUAUGCAUUAAGAUUGACAUGAAUGCAGAUGAGCAUUUUUUACCAUAAAUGCAAAUGAACAUUCAGUUAUAAAACAUCUGUUUAUUCAUAUGCAUCACAUGACAAGAACAGGACAAAGAAAGCAUUCACCCUGAAUAAAUCAAUCAGAAAGCAGAUUUUGCUGAUACAUGUUUUCUUCUUUCUUCAUAUAGGUUAAGAAAGAAAGUGAUGUAUGGGCCGAAUCAUAUCCUAGGCACUGUUUAAAUCACAUGUGGGACAUAUAUUAGAUGACAAAGAAGUACGCUACAGGAAAAUAAAGUGACAUCCAUUUCAUAAAAGGCUUUGAACUGUAGGUUUUCCUCCUUUUUCUCAAGUAGGAACCAAAGAUGAAAAUAACAGACCAAAUAUUAGAUAAACACACGACAUACAUGGGCCAACUAACUAAUGAAGUCGUCUGUUCCCGAAAAUAGAAAUCUUGAGCCCAAAUAUCAAAAUGUUCAAGAAAUUUUUACAUAGGUACCUUGGAUAUAGCUGCCUAUUAACAGAAGGAGGCACUGAGAGUAGCCUGGUUAUAAUAUGUGCCUGAAACCUGGAGAGAUUAGUUUCCAAAUAAAGAGGCAAAUAAGGUCAUUUCCGGAGGUGUGCGUCAACCAAUAACUCAAAAGAAAAUUCCCGACAAACAACAAUUUAUAUAUCCACCUAGAUGAUCUUGGCAAUUAUCAAGUAUGCUGAUAAUAUAUAUCUACAAUUCUUGUAUUGUUUGCCCCGCAAAAAAGAUAAUAUAUAUCUACAGCAGAGAGGAAUCACCAUGCCAUCAAAUAUUUCUAUCUAUAAAGAAACAACUUCUUAGUGAGGCUUGAAAUAAGAAUAUACCAUCAUUAAUUUGGAGAUAAUACACCCUGACAUGUUUGGACCAUUGUUCCCACUAUUUCUAAGUAUCAAUGCUUUUACUUAUCUCCUAAAUUAUCACGUUCUAAGCUAAUAGACUAACAUACAAAAUGGAAGACUGAUAUUUUAGAUUCAAAAGAAAAUUCAAUGAGCAUAGACUACUGAAACUUAUAUCUGAAUAGCACCACUAUUGGUCCAUGGCAUCUGGCCGCUGCAGCAACACCAUUUUUAGCACCAGUGACAGCAUCAAUUGACAUCAUAGAUAGAUAGUUAAGGUUGUUGGCCCAAAUAUCAAAAUGUUCAAGAAAUUUUUACAUAGGUACCUUGGAUAUAGCUGCCUAUUAACAGAAGGAGGCACUGAGAGUAGCCUGGUUAUAAUAUGUGCCUGAAACCUGGAGAGAUUAGUUUCCAAAUAAAGAGGCAAAUAAGGUCAUUUCCGGAGGUGUGCGUCAACCAAUAACUCAAAAGAAAAUUCCCGACAAACAACAAUUUAUAUAUCCACCUAGAUGAUCUUGGCAAUUAUCAAGUAUGCUGAUAAUAUAUAUCUACAAUUCUUGCAUUGUUUGCCCCGCAAAAAAGAUAAUAUAUAUAUCUACAGCAGAGAGGAAUCACCAUGCCAUCAAAUAUUUCUAUCUAUAAAGAAACAACUUCUUAGUGAGGCUUGAAAUAAGAAUAUACCAUCAUUAAUUUGGAGAUAAUACACCCUGACAUGUUUGGACCAUUGUUCCCACUAUUUCUAAGUAUCAAUGCUUUUACUUAUCUCCUAAAUUAUCACGUUCUAAGCUAAUAGACUCACAUACAAAAUGGAAGACUGAUAUUUUAGCUUCAAAAGAAAAUUCAAUGAGCAUAGACUACUGAAACUUAUAUCUGAAUACCACCACUAUUGGUCCAUGGCAUCUGGCCGCUGCAGCAACACCAUUUUUAGCACCAGUGACAGCAUCAAUUGACAUCAUAGAUAGAUAGUUAAGGUUGUUGGCUUCUUGAGUAAGACCAUAGCAGUCCCAGGUCACAUCACCCUCGACAGGAGAAGAGCCGCAAGGCAGCUAAUUGACAGCCACUUUAUCAGUACGACCUGCGAAACCAAGCACAUCGUCUCCAAAUGAACCCCAACCCCUGCCAAGGGCCUUGACCUGGUGGUCCUUUUUCUCCACCUUAGUCUUCAGAUCCUUUAUAUUUUGAUUCUUCUCAGCGACACUGCUUGAAAGGUACUUCAUCUCGGUCUUAAUCUUUUGCAUUUGAGGGCAAUCAAAUCCAAUACUCAUGGUGUCUUGAAGAAGCUCCAAGCACCGAGUAGCAGCAUUCUGCAUGGCCACAGCAACAUCCACAACUGGUUCACCAUGGAUCUCCAUAUGCAUUGAUGCCGCAAACGAGCGCGACUGCGAUGGCCAUAAGUAAAUAGUAGCCCCGACACAACCAUGGUAAGAUGCGUAGGUCUUGUACUCCACUUAGGGUAAACCAGCUUCAGCAAGAAUAGAGUGAAGCACAUCCUUUGGCCUAACGGUAACAGAACGCUUCAUCUGUCAAAACAUGCAAACGGGAAAAUUACUCACAUGAGAUAAAUAACAUAAAAGGAACGCGAAGAUAUACCAAACGAGCAAAGGCACAAGCAACACCAAAGGACCGCUCUGGUCCCAGGCAAAAGAAUAGAG